rnacentral:lncRNA from 1 species
CUCCUGCUCUGGAUGGGAUUACAGAUGUGCAUCACCACCCUUGGCCUCAUGAUUUGGUGCAGAUCAUUUAUAUAUUUCAUGGUGUUUAGUAAAUAAUGAGUGCUCAACCAAUGUUAAUUCCUUUCCCAGGGCAAAGGAAAAGCAAUGGAAAGAAAACUGGUGAAGGGCUUGUUGUGAGAAAAAGGAAAGAAGAAAAGAAUGGAAGGAGAGUACAUAAUGGAACUGGAGGACCAAAUCUCUGGCUCCCCAUGUCUGGCACAUUUGUGGACAGAAUUUUCCACUGGAAACGGUGCUGUGAUUGGCCUGGCUCACGUUAG